rnacentral:rRNA from 1 species
AGAGUUUGAUCCUGGCUCAGGACGAACGCUGGCGGCACGCUUAACACAUGCAAGUCGAACGAGAGAAGAGAAGCUUGCUUUUCUGAUCUAGUGGCGGACGGGUGAGUAACACGUGAGCAAUCUGCCUUUCAGAGGGGGAUACCGAUUGGAAACGAUCGUUAAUACCGCAUAACAUAAUUGAACCGCAUGAUUUGAUUAUCAAAGAUUUAUCGCUGAAAGAUGAGCUCGCGUCUGAUUAGCUAGUUGGUAAGGUAACGGCUUACCAAGGCGACGAUCAGUAGCCGGACUGAGAGGUUGAUCGGCCACAUUGGGACUGAGACACGGCCCAGACUCCUACGGGAGGCAGCAGUGGGGAAUAUUGCACAAUGGAGGAAACUCUGAUGCAGCGAUGCCGCGUGAGGGAAGAAGGUUUUAGGAUUGUAAACCUCUGUCUUCAGGGACGAAAAAAGACGGUACCUGAGGAGGAAGCUCCGGCUAACUACGUGCCAGCAGCCGCGGUAAUACGUAGGGAGCGAGCGUUGUCCGGAAUUACUGGGUGUAAAGGGAGCGUAGGCGGGAUCGCAAGUCAGAUGUGAAAACUAUGGGCUUAACCCAUAAACUGCAUUUGAAACUGUGGUUCUUGAGUGAAGUAGAGGUAAGCGGAAUUCCUAGUGUAGCGGUGAAAUGCGUAGAUAUUAGGAGGAACACCAGUGGCGAAGGCGGCUUACUGGACGAUAACUGACGCUGAGGCUCGAAAGCGUGGGGAGCAAACAGGAUUAGAUACCCUGGUAGUCCACGC